rnacentral:rRNA from 1 species
AUUGAACGCUGGCGGCAGGCCUAACACAUGCAAGUCGAGCGGAUGAAGGGAGCUUGCUCCUGGAUUCAGCGGCGGACGGGUGAGUAAUGCCUAGGAAUCUGCCUGGUAGUGGGGGAUAACGUCCGGAAACGGGCGCUAAUACCGCAUACGUCCUGAGGGAGAAAGUGGGGGAUCUUCGGACCUCACGCUAUCAGAUGAGCCUAGGUCGGAAUAGCUAGUUGGUGGGGUAAAGGCCUACCAAGGCGACGAUCCGUAACUGGUCUGAGAGGAUGAUCAGUCACACUGGAACUGAGACACGGUCCAGACUCCUACGGGAGGCAGCAGUGGGGAAUAUUGGACAAUGGGCGAAAGCCUGAUCCGGCCAUGCCGCGUGUGUGAAGAAGGUCUUCGGAUUGUAAAGCACUUUAAGUUGGGAGGAAGGGCAGUAAGUUAAUACCUUGCUGUUUUGACGUUACCAACAGAAUAAGCACCGGCUAACUUCGUG